UACAGAGACUGCAAGCGUUAUUCGGAUUCACUGGGCGUAAAGGGUGCGCAGGCGGCCAGGUGUGUCAGGUGUGAAAGCCCGGAGCUUAACUCCGGAAUUGCGCCUGAAACUACUUGGCUAGAGCAUUGGAGAGGGUAGCGGAAUUCACGGUGUAGCAGUGAAAUGCGUAGAUAUCGUGAGGAACACCAGAGGCGAAAGCGGCUUCCUGGUCCAGCACCGACGUUCAGGCACGAAAGCGUGGGGAGCAAACAGG
rnacentral:rRNA from 1 species